CCAAUAGCGUAUAUUAAAGUUGCUGCAGUUAAAAAGCUCGUAGUUGAAUUUCGGGACUAAUAUGUCGGUCGUGCCUCGGUACGUACUGGUAUUUUUGGUUUCUCCCUUCUGACGAACCUUGAUGUCAUUAAUUUGGUGUCUUGGGAAAUCAGGACUGUUACUUUGAAAAAAUUAGAGUGUUUAAAGCAGGCUCACGCUUGAAUACAUUAGCAUGGAAUAAUGAAAUAGGACGUUUGAUUCUAUUUUGUUGGUUUCUAGGAUCGACGUAAUGAUUAAUAGGGAUAGUUGGGGGCAUUAGUAUUCAAUUGUCAGAGGUGAAAUUCUUGGAUUUAUUGAAGACUAACUACUGCGAAAGCAUUUGCCAAGGAUGUUUUCAUUAAUCAAGAACGAAAGUUAGGGGAUCGAAGACGAUCAGAUACCGUCGUAGUCUUAACCAUAAACUAUGCCGACUAGGGAUCGGAUGAUGUUAAUUUUUUGACUCGGCGGGCAGCUUCCG
rnacentral:rRNA from 1 species